UACGAAAAGGGGGCUAGCGUUGCUCGGAAUCACUGGGCGUAAAGCGCACGUAGGCGGAUUGUUAAGUCAGGGGUGAAAUCCUGGAGCUCAACUCCAGAACUGCCUUUGAUACUGAGGAUCUUGAGUACGGGAGAGGUGAGUGGAACUGCGAGUGUAGAGGUGAAAUUCGUAGAUAUUCGCAAGAACACCAGUGGCGAAGGCGGCUCUCUGGGACGGUACUGACGCUGAGACGCGAAAGCGUGGGGAGCGAACAGG
rnacentral:rRNA from 1 species